rfam:Providencia rettgeri DSM 1131 genomic scaffold Scfld6, whole genome shotgun sequence.
GGGUGCUUGAGCCUUUCUGGUUCAAGCUUAUUAUGUUGGAUAAAAUGUUUGGAUUAGAAAUGGAAAAGCCCCGUUAGUUAUUAUUAACCAACGAGGCCCAAACCUAACCCGACAGUUAGGAUUGUGCCUCUUAACCAUUAAGAGGUCAAGGGAAAUGAGCAAG